GGCAGGUAUAGUUGUAAUAAUACUAUCACAUCGAGGAGGGGUUUAAUAGGGCGCGGGUAAACGCCUAAGUGAAGAGGUGGGCGUGUUCAUCGCCAGUAUUUAAGAAGGAAUCUUUCAAUCACGUUAUCCACUUCGCAUAUUUCGUCUGUACUGACCUUAUAAAAACCAGGUAUGAUUGGGGGUUAUUUUGUUUAAACCUGCAGGGGAGGGAGACAGAUUACCCAGCUACUUGUGCUGAAAGUCUUUCUUUGUAACGUUUCCAUAUGUCACUGUACCCCUUGUUUUCCUGAUAUGAGUCUUAAAGAGAUCUUUUGGAGAUGUUUAUUCUCCAAACGAUGAACUGCAAAUUAAUUUGAUCAUAUUAAUCUUGAAUAGCUGAUCUGUGAGAAUUCGUCAAAGCAGCUGGAAUGGAUCAGGCAUCGUUUAGAUUUCACUGUUUAGUGGAUCAAAUGUAUCGUGCGAUCUGCAGUGUAUUUUAUCAAAUGUUCUGUUGGAAUAUGUUCCGAGCGUUCUAAUCUUUCUAUAAACUGACUUUUUAGUGUUCUGCGUCACUGACCUCCCUUUCUCUUUUAAAAGAGAGAGAAAUCCUCUGCAGCCUGUCUAGACACGUGUGCACUUGGUCACACCCUGCAGUUCUUGCCCUGGUUUGUCCACCCUUGGGCUCUAUUGUCUGCGCGAUUCGUCUGAUUGCUUUCUCUGGUGUUGUGCAACAAUCUGGUUCUAUGAGGUUUACUUAUGGGGUGUGUUUUGAACAAAAAAGUUGCUGAUUUUACUAAGCUCAGGCGACUAAAUUGUCUAAACGACCAGCUUUGCGUGUCCAUAGCGGAACUGUCGAUUUUGUUUGUUUGUAUUUUGUGUACGUGCUCUAGGCAUCACCCACGGGGAUAUUUCUACUGCUCUAAAUUCUGUUUUUCGCUUCUGCAGCCAAAAUGUCUGAUAAGCCAGACCUGUCAGAGGUAGAGAAGUUUGACCCGAAGAAACUUCGGAAAACUAACACAGAGGAGAAGAACACCCUACCCUCGAAGGAAAGUAAGUAGUAAAAAUAAAAAUAAAAAUUUCCUUGCUAUAAUUUUAAAGUAGGGAUCUGCAGACUAAAAUUACUAUGCAAGAAACCGUUCAUCUCAGAAUGGGUUUUAUGGAACAAGUUAGUGUGGAGAGAAUACACUGUUGGACCUAGAUGCUACCCAUCCAGACAUACAUAGAUUAGUUAAUUUGUUCACAUGUCUUGUUUUCUAACCCAUAUCAUGAAGAUAAAUUCAUCUUUCAAGUAAAAUUAGAUCUUAUCUGUCAGGUGGGAGAUAAAAACCUGUUUAGAUGGUUUAACUAGGGCUUGGCUAUUUAAAGGACCAGUCAGUGAGCCCCACUAACUGGGAAAGUGGUUAUUACAGCUGGCUUUCAUCUUCUGGUCAAAACUAAAAUAUCUUCCUAAAGGGACACUAGUCAUCAAUUACUAUAGCAUAAUGUAGUUGUUCUGGUGUCUGUAGUGUCCCUGCAGGCAUCUUAAUGUAAUCCCUGCCUUUGCAGUGGCAGUCAAGCUGCCACUAGUUGCUUCCUGGGGUCACUGCUGCACAUUGACAUUCAGCGUCUCAACACUCUGCAAGGAGACGAUGAACGUUAAUAGAUACAUUGAUUCACUGCAUCUGAGAUGCUGAUAGGUGUGGCUGGGGAAACUGUGCAUUUAUUCCCAUAGUGCUAAGCUGACCUUCACUUUAUUGCAAUGCCAUGGGGGGCAGGGGGGAGACUUGGUUGUAAUAAUGGACCGGCAUCAUACAAUCUCACACUCAUUCUAGGAACUGAAGUGUGACUUGUUCUAGAACAGCAUGUUUGUGAGAAUUAACACAUUCAAGCUAGUGUAGCUAAUCUAGACACUCUAGCAAGUCUUUAUGCAUGACCAGCUCACUUUAAGAGUCCAGGAACAUUUACAUUACAACUGGUAAAUGCUACUCUUAAUGUUACUGUCUCUUACAUUACUGCCUUAUUUUAUUUUGCUAUUCUUUAUCAACAGCUAUUGAGCAAGAAAAACAAGCAUGUAAGAAAUCAUGAAGAUGCUUCAUAUGGACACAUCAAGUUUCCAUGGUCUUAUGAUCUCUCUGUUUCACUGGAUGUAGGGCAAGCAUGGCCCAAACACCUUUGCCACUUAAUUUGCAGAAUAAACUGUAAAAAAAAAAAAAAAUUAUAAUUAAAGAUGUUUAUUUUUAUCCAGAAAA
rnacentral:lncRNA from 1 species